GCCGGGCGCAGUGGUGCACGCCUGUAGUCCCAGCUACUCGGGAGGCUGAGACAGGAGGAUCCCUUGAGUCCAGGAGUUCUGGGCUGUAGUGCGCUAUGCCGAUCGGGUGUCUGCACUAAGUUCGGCAUCAAUAUGGUGACCUCCCGGGAGGGGGGGACCACCAGGUUGCCUAAGGAGGGGUGAACCGGCCCAGGUGGGAAACGAGAAGAAUCUGUGGUUUCAAGCGUUCCCUGUGGUCUUGGACAUACUCCCCAGGGAUAAGGAGGCACUGCUGUUCAAGGAAGGGGCAGCCCGUUUCC
rnacentral:SRP_RNA from 1 species